AUUGAACGCUGGCGGCACGCCUUACACAUGCAAGUCGAACGGCAGCACGGGGGCAACCCUGGUGGCGAGUGGCGAACGGGUGAGUAACGCAUCGGAACGUGCCCAGUAGUGGGGGAUAACCAGUCGAAAGAUUGGCUAAUACCGCAUACGACCUACGGAUGAAAGCGGGGGACCGAAAGGCCUCGCGCGAUUGGAGCGGCCGAUGUCAGAUUAGGUAGUUGGUGGGGUAAAGGCCCACCAAGCCAACGAUCUGUAGCUGGUCUGAGAGGACGACCAGCCACACUGGGACUGAGACACGGCCCAGACUCCUACGGGAGGCAGCAGUGGGGAAUUUUGGACAAUGGGCGCAAGCCUGAUCCAGCAAUGCCGCGUGCAGGAAGAAGGCCUUCGGGUUGUAAACUGCUUUUGUACGGAACGAAACGGUCCGGGCUAAUACCCUGGGCUAAUGACGGUACCGUAAGAAUAAGCACCGGCUAACUACGUGCCAGCCGCCGCGGUAACAC
rnacentral:rRNA from 1 species